CGGGACGUGGAUCGAACUGGGCGAGACUCAGCCAGGAACCCGGGCCAGAAAGGUGACCAUGCAGUGCCCUCUGUGACAGCGGUCAGAAGAGGAGGAGCGAGUGGGCGGAGCCGAAGCCGUGGGCGGAGCCGAAGCCGUGGGCGGAGCCGGUCUGACUAAACUUGAGCUGCGGGCAUGGGCGAGCUGGCAGGAGGAAACCGAUCUUCAGCCUGGUUAGGUCGCCAAAGUUACCUUAUCUACAUUCACAUGCCGGGCUCGUUUUACCUGGGAACUGGAAGAAUCCUAAGUGACAGGUAGUCGUGGCCCAUUGCAGAGCAACAUGAUUCACCUCACCGUUGGCAUCUGGAAAUGAGGAAGAUAGCUCACAUGACACCUGCUGGUGGGAAGCCACUCCAACUUCAUCACUCCCUGAAAGAGGGCUUCUUCAUGGAUGGGGCACAGGGAGGAAGGAGGCAGAUAUGAGAACUUGAUCAGGCCUGUGUGACUUUGAACAUUGAGGAAACCAAUGCUUAGGACUCCCAGGAUGUCUGGCCCAGCUAUGGAUUGGAGUUCAGCUUCCAUCAAAUGUGUUACUUCUCUGCUGGGCAGUCUCUUGAGCAGCUUCGUCCACUCUUUGAGCUGAGGUAGCUGUAGGGACCCAGACGCGCUUCCCUGAGAAUCCAGGAAGUGCCCCAAAUGCCCCUGUCUUUUCCCCCUUGACAGGCUAUAAUUGUGGAAGCCAUGUCUGGUGAGCUAAAGGGUACUUGGAGGAAUGGAAGCCCUUUCCAGUGCAGAGACAGCUAGCAGUGCUGUGAUAAUUAAUCAUGUCAACUUGAAUAAGAAAUGCCUAGCAUAUUCAAUUACACAUUGUAUCUGGAUGACUGUUUUAAGUGAAGAGGGGAAGAACCACCUUGAAUGUGGCAUAAAAAGGGAAAGAAGAAGGAAGUUCCUCUUUAUUCUUCAGAGGAAUUCCGGUCUUCGCCUUCACCUUUGGACCUCCAUCUCCAGGCUUCCAGGGCAGACUCUUCCAUCUUUCAGCACAGAACCGAGAGCUUCCUGAUAUGGACCAAAGGGACUGCGCAGCAUUCUCCAGGCCUUCCACCUCUGACUGGAUCCUCCUCUCCAGGGUGCAGAUGGCCUUUUGUACUCUCCACCCUGAUGCUGCAUGUAGCCCUUAUGUUAAAUAUGUUGUGAUACAUGUCACCAGCUUCACUUUCUCUGAUAUUUCUUAGCAGUGCACCAUUCUACCCAAGCAAAAGGUCUAUUUCACCCCCUCCCAUUCUUUCUUUUCUUUCAUUUGCACCUUCUUUCCAAUCCUCCAGUUACUUGUCUUGUUGCUGCCACAAAAUACCUGAAAUCCACAAGUUAAAGGAGGGAAGGUUUAUUUCAGCUCAUAGUUUAUAGAAGUUUCAGUCCAUUGGCUGUUGGCUCCAAGGCACUGCAGCUUAGCAGACAGGCAUGGCAGAGGGAAAACAGUCCAUAGUUUGGCAGGCAACAAGCAGCAACAGCCUACUUUUCCCUUUUUAUUCCAGCCAGGCUACAGGCCUUUUGUGUGGCAUCGUUCAUGCACAGGUUGGGUCUUCUAUCUUCAUAAAUCCAUUCAGCCAUACCCAGCAUUAUGCUAUUUCCAAUCAAAUGACUGAUUUAAUAGCAAACACACUUAAUUCCAGUUCUCUAGAUCUAAGCAUCUCUGAAAAGCCCCAAGUAUGAGCACAUGAGGCCUUGGGGGGUCAUCUAGAUACAGGACAUAACUAACACUCAGUUCGUCCUAAAUGUUAGCUGUCCUGACACUACUUUCUGAGAUGACUCUUUUGUCGCUACAUUCUCUUUGGAACUUUCAUAUGGUAGACAGACACAUCCACACACUUGUGCACUUACUUGCACUUACAUGCACCAUCAUUCAUUCAUUCAACUGUGGAGACUUCACAGGUAAAUAAUUUGGGUCCCCACAACCUAAGUAAGAAGGGAUAAGGUACAAGGCCACAUAGAGGGUUGGGUCACCAGGAAGGGUCCUUCAAAGGGAGGAUGCUCCAGCUGCUUCUUGGUGGAUAUGGUGCUAAACACUAGUGCAUCUCAUUGGAGCUGCUGUUUCUGAUCCUUUAGCAGGUAUGGGCUGAACCUGCCAUGUUAUUGGUUUGUUUAAUCCUCCACAAACUGACCAACAGAUAUUUUUUAUUCCCAUUUGCAAGAAGGAAACUGAGGCUUUGAGAAUUCAGUUAACUUACCCAUGGUCUAGCCACUCUGGGCAGUGGGGCAGGCUGUGAACCCAGAUGCAUUAGUCUAUAGGGCCUGCUUUGAACCCACCUGUCUGCAUUCAUAGUCUCUCAGGAGGCAAAAGGGACAGGAAGUGCAUCUCCAGGCUGAGGGGAGAGCAGGAGGAAGGGCAUGAAGCCUGCAUGGAGCAGAGGGGAGUGUUGGUGGGUGGUCAGCCGUUUGGACUUGCUCAGUGGGAAAAGAGUCCUGUGGAUGGAGCAAAGGCCCCUGAGAAAGAAUGACAGCUGGGGAGUUGCACAUGCUGGCCCCUAGAUUUCAUAGUGGAGGCUGUUCCCUUACGAGGCUGAGCCCAUCCACGUGCUCCCUGCACCUCUGAAUCUUCCGGUUGUGCCUUGAGUCUCUCUCUGGAGGUGGGUAUCACGGGGCAUUCUGAGCUCACAUGGACGGUGAACUGCCUGGGCCCGGAGCAGUAGUCUGAAGGAGAUAAGAGGGACAGGAAGACACUGUUAAGGUCUCUGUUGCUUUUGCUGUCUUCUGCCAUCAUGGACUGUCGCCCCUCUGCCAUGUGCCACCAUCCCUGGGAGCCAGCUGAUCAUGGACUAAAACUUCUACAAACUGUGAGGUAGAUAAACUCCUGCUCUCUUAAUUGGGGGGUGUCCGCUAUUUUGUUUCAGCAACUAAAAAAUAACUAAGACGCCAUGACAGAACUGGAACAUCUGUGUCAGAAGUACAAGUCUUAAAGUGAUAACCCUGGUCCACUGGCAUCGAGUGACUGAUGUGGAGCUCCUCCAUUCAGUGUGGUUAACGGCUCUCCCUGAAAAGACAAACACACGGGGCUGGCGGUGUUGCAGCACCUCUGACUGAGGUGUGGAUGCACGUGGACUACAGGGCGAGUGCGGUCUGACUCAAUUUGAGCCUGGGUACAUGAGGCCGCGCUACCUAUCUUGACCUUUUGAGAGAGGGCAUGUAGCUCAGAUGUUCUUGUUUAAACCUGGACCCUUUGAAACCAUUUCACAAAGAACCUUACCUGGAAUUCUCCACCUCAGUCCUUUUGUAUCACCCCAGAUGGCAUUCACGCGAAUAGAUUGUAGAUACAAGCUUGAGACCAUAUCUGAGAGGAGAUGACCUCUGAACCCUUGCUCUCAGUAGCUGUUUAUGAAAUUGUGGUCCAUGGAGGUUGAGAAGCCAAUCAUCAAACAUGUUUUCUAACCUAUGUUUUCCACUAGGACAUAAGACCUCAGAUGCACAGCCACAGGGCAUACAAUACUGAGUCUAUCUCCAGAAGGGUGUGGGCGGGGAGAUCGAAAUGUUUAUCCAAGUUCACAACCCUAAGCUAUGCAAACACACCUAAUCCAUGGAUCCGUCUGCCUAAGACUGUAGGAUCUAACUCUACACAAAUUCAGCCUAUGGAACACAUCCGGGACGUCCCCCUUGAUUGUUAGCUUUCUUCCUGCGCAACAUUUUCUCCCCAUGUUUCUUUAGAUGGAUGUCACUUUGAAUCAUGUCACCUGCCUUCGUAAAAUGGAACAAAGUGUGCAUAGGAAAGGAGAUGUGAUUGGUGGGGGUUUCCCCCUUAUACGCAUUUUCAUAUCAGGAGUAACAGUGAAAAGCCAUAUAAGAAAUUAUUCGUUCUUGCCCAGUAAGUCCCUUUUUCCUUUGUUUAUUCCUGCUUAUUUAUUGGGAUAAAUAAAGCAUAGAGCCUCUGUGGUUAAAUAGGGUGGUGCUGGCUGUAUCACUAAAUUGUUGUUCCUGUCCACAGGUAAAAAGAUCGGUCCCAGUUUCUUUGGACUGUUCUUGUUUCCUUUCUCUCUUUUUCGGGUGUGUGAAGACAGUAUUUUCUGUUUCAUUUUUAUAUAUUCCACAUUUUAAUCCUAGCAUCAGUUUGACACCAUUGUUGACCUUAUUUCAUUUUCCCUGACCCUUGUCCUUCCAGUCCUUCCACUCCCCGAGCUAAUAUGACAUCCUGUUAAACCCAAGCC
ensembl:lncRNA